rnacentral:rRNA from 1 species
ACGCUCGACACCUACGGGAGGCAGCAGUGGGGAAUAUUGCACAAUGGGAGGAAACUCUGAUGCAGCGAUGCCGCGUGAGGGAAGAAGGUUUUCGGAUUGUAAACCUCUGUCUUUGGGGACGAUAAUGACGGUACCCAAGGAGAAGCUCCGGCUAACUACGUGCAAGCAGCCGNGGUAAUCUGAGCGGGCUGGCAAGGC